rnacentral:misc_RNA from 1 species
AUCUUAGGAAGAAGAAAAGAAUCAUUGCUCAUCCUGAUGGUUUACCUCUCCUUACUCUCCGCGAAAAGACACUUUCAUGGCGUAAUACGUGGAAAGUUUAUCGUGCUGAGAGUUCAGACAUAAACGAUCUGCUCUACACAGUCAAAAGAUCAAGCACAUUCCAAAUGAAAAUGCAACUUGAUGUGUUCUUGGCUAGCAAUAUCAAUGGAGAGUUAUGUGAUUUCCAUGUAAAGGGAUCUUUCACCAAUCAAUCUUUCAAAGUUUACAAAGGGGACACUUUGAUUGCUGAGGUGAAAGAGAGAUUCAAACUUGGAAGUUUCUUCAAAGGAAGAGAGAAUUUUGAAGUGAGA